AGCAGAGCAGGGCUGGGAGCCAUCAAAGGUGCCACGUGAGGACUUGUUAAGACCCACAUGCAGAAUAUGAGCUUCAGCCGACCCUCCCUGACAUGUUGAACUAUUUUGAUACGACUGCGGCAAUGGGAAUACGCUUUCCUGAUGCUUCCAAUCCUGCAAAAUCACCUGCUCUUCUCCAACCAAAAAUACAAGAGUUGACCUUCUGAUGUUGAAGGAAAACAAACAAGCCUCUGGAUUCCCCUCAGGAAAACAAAUGGUCUCUGCUGUUCCAGCAUGGCCCUAUUUGGACAGCUCAAGGCUGGAAAUUCAAAAUUAGCAUUUGACAAUGAAACAAUCCAGGCAUGGAUUUUAAAAAGAGCAAUGAAUGGAAAGAGUUUUACCGUCAUUUAGGGAACUCUUCCCUUUCUUCUCUGACCACUUUUCUUUGCUGCUUGGUGCUACUGCCCUAGGAGGAGAUUUUGGGCUGCCCUGCCUUCCUUCAUCUCUGCAGGUUCCUGCUGGUGCUGCCCUAAUCUGGGUGAAGAGGAGAAAAUGUCUCUCCAGGCUCACACUAUGCAUAUGGAGAGUGGAAGAGGUCCAUGUGGGGAUGGGAGUAAUCCUGACAGGGGGAGAAGCCACGGAAGCAUCGUCCACACGCACAGCCCAGUACAGCCAAAUGGGCAAACGGCGUGUCAGCAUUUGCAGCUCAUCAGCAAGGAGUUCUGGCUGCUCCCCUGGGUAUGACGCCCCCUCCAUCUCCACUCUCCUCAGAAGCAGCCAGCCCAAGCGGAAUCAUUCUGCCCUUUCACUCAGCAGCAGCACUGGCUUUUGCAAAUUAAGGGCCAGAACAGAGAGGUGAUGAGACAAAAACUCAGCCCAGCUUUCAGACAUAGUUGCUACCCACCGCCUUAAGGGCAGAGAUCCGUACCCUGUGUGUGUGCUGCUGUUGGGACAUGGAGGCAGAGACAGUUCAUUCUGCUUUUUUUUUCCAUUGUGCAUGGGUACACAACGUGGCUCUCAGCCUCCUCUACAAUAAUGCUUUGUUUCCCUCAACCAACACCACUCUGUCAGCGAUGUAAAUAAUUUUAGCACAUCCAAACAGGAAGUGGCUGAGUGUUUGGGUGUCUGAAUCAACAUCCUGGAGGCUGGGCCUUUGCCACCAGUGCAAUAACUAAAUGCAUGAGUCGCCUAUGGAUGGAAGCGCAGGUCUUGGAAAUGGCAGAGCCAGUAAAACUCAGUGCCAGAAUGUGACCGUUGCCAAAUAAUACUGUUGCUUGUCCAGUUUGUGUGGCCGCAGGCUGCUUCAUCUCAGCUUCUCCGUGCUGAUGCAAUCAUGUUUCCUUUCUGCUUGUGGCAUUGGUAUGGAAAGAGUAGAACGGAGGACUGGCACUAUUGCGUUGGUGCGCAGCACUCGAAGGCUCUCAGGGUUGUAAGCUCAAUGGGCCAGUGGGGAAGCCAUGCACAGAAGGGAAGUUCUUCACAGAGAGAGUGUUGAGGUGCUGGAACAGGCUGUCCAGAGAGGCUGUGGAUGCUCCGUGCCUGGAGGUGUUCAUCCAGCUUGGAUGGAGCCCUGGGCAGCCUGGUCUGGUACCAGACCUGGAGGUUGGUGGCCCUACCUGCAGUUGGAACUUGAUGAUCCUUGAGGUCCCUUCCAACCCAAGACAUUCUAUGCUUGCAUGACUUCAGAGCCACCAAUCAGAGCUUCUGAGCUUCCUGGGCCAAUUUUAGGAGAAGGAGUGGGCCCAUCUGCUGGUCCUGCUGGGGAUGCUGCAUGUGGGGUCGCUUCCAGAUCUGGUGAACACCCACGGGAAGCUGUCAUCAGCUGCUUGGCAGAAGCCAAAGGUUCCUACCAAAGUACUUCCCUGAGCCCUCCUGGUUUCCUGUCAAUAGAAAUAGUCGUCUCCUAACUUACACCCAUAAGAUCUUCUACAGGUGUUACUCAUUGCUCUCCUCUUUUAUCUCUCGCGCUGUUGGAGUGUGUUGGAAGGGUUUUUUUCUGGCCCAGGAAGAACACAUUUAUGAGCCAGUGCCCCGAAGCUCCUAUUGUUAGUUAUUUAAUAAGAAAGAAACAAACAGAAGCCCCUCCCCCAAAACAACAAAGCCAAAGAGUAAGCUACAGAGCACACAGCCCCAUUUCAACAAUGCUAUCGUUAAUAAAACACGUGGAGGUUGCAGAGGGAGCAAUGCACUGUGCUGGCAUCGUGUUCUCACCUUGCACAAGUGUGUUUCAGGCAGAGAUGCUGAUCUCACAGGGACACUUCUGCAUCCCGCACCAAGCUGUUGCUUUGAGGCAGGUGUGGAUGGAGUGCUUUGUGAGGCACUGAGAGCAUCAACGCAUGCUCUGCCAUUUCACUGAAGAAAGUGGAAGCAUUUAACGAUGGGCUGGUGUGUAGGAGCAGUGACAUUUCUGCACUGUUAUUCAUCACGACCACGAUGGGCCAUGUUUGUCAAGAUGCCCUGUUUCGGAGAAGGCUCUCACACAUCCACUCUUGUUAUUCGUAACUGAGCAAAAAUGCAAUAUUUAAAAUGCAGCUGGCAAUGGCUUGGAGUCUGAAUCCUGCCUUGUCCUGGUGAAUCUCAGACAGUGAACCUGAGGAGAUGGCAGAUUGGAAGGGAAAACAGUCCGGAUUCGGGAGGGUGAAGUUCCGAUAUCUUGCAGAAUAAAAUUAAAAUCUCAAUUCAGAUCAAAACAGAGCUGUUAUAUCUCACGGGGGAAAACCUCCCAGUGUUUUCCACCAACUCAAGUAUCACUAUUAACAGAGAGUGACUUUUCUCACAGUGAAUGUGGUGUUGGUGGAAAUGCCAGAGGCGGCUGUAGGAAAUAGGACAUGACUUUUUGCUCUGAAUAAAAAUGUUUGGGGGCCGUAUACCCGUGGCUGCAGAGCUGUGCUGUGCCUUUGUCCUGCUGUGGGUGUGCAGAGCAAUGGGGUGGGAGACUCUCCGUCCUCUCUGCUUUGUGAAUAAGGAAAUAUUUCUCAGUCCACAGUGUCCACAGGCUGUGGUCCUUCCCAUCAGGGCAGGGAAUGGAUCUUGCUUCUCUGCAUGACAGCCAGCCUGCGGGGAGAGGUGUGUGGGGCCCAGGGACAACUCCUGACCUGCUGCUGUGGGGGAGAUCCACAGAUGGAGGCACGACUUGGAGUGAACACCCAAAGUCCUGGUUAGGACACAGUCCUGGGGUCUGAGUUAGAAGUGAACUAUUUCUUGCCAUUUGGGUGGUGUUUAUGGCAGUACCAGCUCCAAGACAAGCCCAUCACUUCCUGAAGGACUUGCUAAAGCUCAGCAGGAGAUGACAAAGCCCAUAUCAAAGCCAUGGGAGCAGCGACUGCUGCCACACAGGGGACACCUGUAACCUAUGUGCAGUGUUGGGG
ensembl:lncRNA